rnacentral:rRNA from 1 species
AACGAACGCUGGCGGCAGGCUUAACACAUGCAAGUCGAACGCAUGCCUUCGGGCAUGAGUGGCAGACGGGUGAGUAACGCGGGGGAACCUACCCCUUGGUACGGGAUAGCUCCGGGAAACUGGAGAUAAUACCGUAUGUGUCCUGAGGGACAAAGAUUCAUCGCCAAGGGAUGGGCCCGCGUCGGUUUAGCUGGUUGGUGGGGUAACGGCCUACCAAGGCGACGAUCCGUAGCUGGUCUAAGAGGAUGAUCAGCCACAUUGGGACUGAGACACGGCCCAAACUCCUACGGGAGGCAGCAGUGGGGAAUAUUGGACAAUGGGCGCAAGCCUGAUCCAGCCAUGCCGCGUGAGUGAUGAAGGCCCUAGGGUUGUAAAGCUCUUUCACCGGUGACGAUAAUGACGGUAACCGGAGAAGAAGCCCCGGCUAACUUCGUG